UACGUAGGCAGCGAAGCGUUGUUCGGAAUUAACUGGGCGUAAAGGAGUGAUGUAGGCGGUGCUCCAAGUCUGGUGUGGAAAUCUCCCGGCUUAACUGGGAGGGUGCAUUAGAAACUGGAAUGCUGAGAGGAUGGGAGAGGUAAGCGGAAUUCUGGAUGUAGCGGUGAAAUGCGUAGAUAUCAGGAGGAACACCUGUGGUGUAGACGCUUACUG
rnacentral:rRNA from 1 species